UACGGAGGGUGCAAGCGUUAAUCGGAUUUACUGGGCGUAAAGCGUGCGCAGGCGGCCCGUUAAGACAGGUGUGAAAUCCCUGGGCUCAACCUAGGAAUUGCGCUUGUGACUGGCGGGCUCGAGUACGGUAGAGGGGGGUGGAAUUCCUGGUGUAGCAGUGAAAUGCGUAGAGAUCAGGAGGAACACCGAUGGCGAAGGCAGCGCCCUGGGCCUGUACUGACGCUCAUGCACGAAAGCGUGGGGAGCAAACAGG
rnacentral:rRNA from 1 species